AUCGAACGCUGGCGGCAGGCUUAACACAUGCAAGUCGAGCGGGGUGAUGGUGCUUGCACUAUCACUUAGCGGCGGACGGGUGAGUAAUGCUUAGGAAUCUGCCUACUAGUGGGGGACAACAUCUCGAAAGGGAUGCUAAUACCGCAUACGUCCUACGGGAGAAAGCAGGGGAUCACUUGUGACCUUGCGCUAAUAGAUGAGCCUAAGUCGGAUUAGCUAGUUGGUGGGGUAAAGGCCUACCAAGGCGACGAUCUGUAGCGGGUCUGAGAGGAUGAUCCGCCACACUGGGACUGAGACACGGCCCAGACUCCUACGGGAGGCAGCAGUGGGGAAUAUUGGACAAUGGGGGGAACCCUGAUCCAGCCAUGCCGCGUGUGUGAAGAAGGCCUUAUGGUUGUAAAGCACUUUAAGCGAGGAGGAGGCUCUUUUGGUUAAUACCCAAGAUGAGUGGACGUUACUCGCAGAAUAAGCACCGGCUAACUCUGUGCCAGCAGCCGCAGUAA
rnacentral:rRNA from 1 species